CAACAUUCCUUAUGGUGCUUAGUCUCUAGAGAUCACACCAUAUACUAGACCAAUCUAGGAGAAGUUACACUCUCCUGUGCAGAUCCUACAUAACUUUUCCACAACCCCUAAGGACUCUUGUAAGAGUUUGGAACUCAAGCCCAGCCUCUUCCAAAUGCUGAAAGAAAAAACAACAGCUGUUAAAUUUCCUUUACGUUUCUUGCAUCUUACAGUACAUAUGGUUUAGAAAACUCUGUGACAAGCUUAACAUGGAAUGGUCUUCCUAGCCUCAAGCAGCAGAAGUAACUUCUCCCAGCUAGGGUGUAGGAACAUCCAGUGAUGAUUGGAGUGAUGGUGUCCUACUUGGAAAUGGAGGUGCUGGAUGGCAGAAGAGGAUUCUUGGCCAAAUAUGGAAUCAUCUCUGUUCCUUCAUGAGGGUAAGUUUUUAAAAGUCAAACAUAUAGAGGUGGAUUUGCAGGGUGCCUUGAAGGAGGUGACCCCCCCCCCAACUUGAUAUCAGUUGGAUAUUUCAGAGCAGCUGAGAUUAAGGGGACAUUACAAAGUUCUGAAAAUGUUCCUGAAUGUUUUUAGUUGUUAAACUGUCUAAAAGAAUACAAGCAAUGCAAAAAAAAAAAAAAAAAAAAAAAAAAGGCAGAACAACUGCAUGUCCUGAACAGAAUCCAGCUUUAAUAGAGACUAAAAAUUAUUCAUAUUCCUCUUUCUUCUUAGUGACCUAAUUAGCUCUCAUCUUCUCUCUCUGCUCUCUCCACACACCUUCCUACUUCUUACAUGUUCUGUUCUCCUACUGUUGAACUCCUGUCAUCUUUAUUUCUCUCCCUUUCUACCUUUGGAAUCCCUUCCCUAAUGCCCCUUCCCUCUUUUGUCUCUUCUGUCUUUUCUAACUUCACCUCUCUGCUGUCUUCCUCUCCUCUACUUCUUUUUUUUUUUUUCCAUACUCUUCUCUCUCUUUUCUCUGCACCAUUAUUUAUCUUCUUCCUUCUUCUGCACUUCUGUGCUCUGCGGUUCUGUCCUCCCCUGCCUGUUACUCCUGUCUUCCUCUUCUCCUCCUCACUCUUCUCCCGUUUCUGCUUUACCCCUUGCCGCUGAUGUGGUGACUCAUCUACUCUUAAGUUCUCCCUUAGUGUUAUCUUCUUCUGCUGGGUCAUCUUCCCUCUGUCCUCCCUCCUCUUUAGCUGGCCAUUAGUUCUCCCUGUAACAGCUCCUAUUGUGCCAUUCUUUCUUCUCCGUAUCCUCACUCUUCCUUCAUCUGCAUCUGCACUUCUCUUCUGCUGUUCUUUCUUCUCUCUAUCCUCUCUCCUCUUCUGCAUCACAUCUCUCCUUCUGCUGUUUUCUUCCUGUUUCCUCGUUGCUCUUCUCCAUCUUUGCUCCUCUUCUGCUGUUUUUUUCCCCGCUUCCUCACUCCUCUUUCAUCUGCAGCAGCUCUGCUCUUCUUUCUUCCCUCUCUCCUCUCUCCUAUUUUUUCUGUAUCUGGACCCCAUUUCUGCUCUUCCUUCUUCCCUGUAUCCUCUGCUCUUUCAUCUGCAUCCUCACUCUUCUCUUGUUCUUUCUUCCCUGUCUCCUCACUCCUUUCUUCUGCAUCUGCACUUCUCAUCUUCUUUCUUUCCUGUAUUCUCACUACUCAAUCACCUGCGUCUGCACUCUCCUUCUGCUGUCCUUUCUUCCCUGUAUCCUCAC
ensembl:lncRNA